rnacentral:rRNA from 1 species
ACGAACGCUGGCGGCGUGCUUAACACAUGCAAGUCGAACGGAAAGGCCCUGCUUUUUUGGGGUUCUCGAGUUGCCAACGGGUGAGUAACACGUUAGUAACCUUCCCUUUACUUUUGGAUUACUUCAUGAAACUUGGGCUAAUACCGGAUUGUACCUCCUGCUUCCUUGUGGUGGUUGUAAAUUUUCGGCGGUUGGGGUUAGACUCGCGGCUUAUCAGCUUGUUGGUGGAGUAGUGGCUUACCAAGGCUUUGCCGGGUAGCCUGCCUGAGAGGGUGACCGGCGACAUUGGGACUGAGAUACGGAACAGACGCCAACGGGAGGCAGGAGUGGGGAAUAGUGCACAAUGGGCGGAAGGCUGAUGCAGAAACGCCGCGUGCGGGAUGACGGCCUUCGGGUUGUAAACCGAUUUCGACUGUGACGAAGAGUGAGUGACGGUAAUGGGUAAAGAAGCACCGGCUAACUACGUG